AGAGGUUGAUACAUGGUUUGGAUCAAACCUUGAUGGGGACAAUAAUAUCGAAUCGAUUUGUAAUUUAGAAUCAAUUUAUUUAAAAUCGGGUACGAAACUUUACAAUAUAAAAUUACAUUCUGAAUAAGUUUAUUAACAUUUUUAUAUUCUGAGCGCCAAGCACGAAUAACUAUCGCAUUCGUAAUGUAAACGUAUCGAGAUGACGAUAUGUCAUGAGACGUUAACGGAGUGUGGCAGCACGAAGCCUAUUCUUUCAACUAUCGAGAGCUCGCAUCGAAUUCGAUAGUGACGUCAUGCUAAUGUAAACUAGAGAAGCAGCCAAGUGAACGAUUUGAAUGACUUAUUGAGCAUAAAGAUUUCGUUUGAAAACUAAAUUAAAUUUAUAUAUAUAUUUCAACCUUUGUCUACACGUUUUAUGAAAUAAUAUUUAUUAAAUAAAUAUUAAUUAUGUGCAAAAAGUUCUUAAAGCGAGUUAAGAGAAAUAUAACGUGACAUUAUCUAUGAAAAAAAAAAUAAGUACUUAGUUUCAUAAAUUUAUAUUUUUUUUUUAUGAUUUCCGAACGUCGUAUUUGACAUUUGUCAUUUGCCGGUUGUUUGUUUGUUAUUUUAUCUUAUGUAAAUAAAUAACAAUUUUAACAUGUUACAUUUAAAAUGAGGACGAUUCAACUCCAAUAUGAGCUAAUGGUGGAAUUUAUGCAAAAAUUGGAAUAUUUGUGGGACCAGUCCAAUAUUUCUGGGAGCAGUGGGCCUACUGUAUUCCUACCACACCACUCACUGUUCCUCACGAAGCCUACCCUUCGCCAGCGCCUCCACCAACACCACCGAUCCUCCAUCCGAGGAAGAUAGCUGGAAUCCUCCACCAGUGAAAAAACCUAAAGCGAGUUUGAUUAAAAUGUGUAUAGAGAAUGACAAGAAUACUAUGCUAGGGAGCGUGAGAAAAGUUAUUAUUUUUUAUUAGUUGGUUAUUUUUUGUUACUUACUGUUAAUUUUUAUUACUUAGUUGAUUAUUUUUUGUUACUUACUGUUAAUUUUAUAUUUAUUUCAAUUUUUCUGUUUUUAUGUUAUUUUAAAAUAUUAUCAAAAUAUUGUUAAUGGCAUUGUAUUUAUAAUAAUUAUUCUAACUGUGUCAAUACUGUGAAUGUGGUGCAUGUCUAUAAAUUGAUAUAAGCACAUGAUCUUGUGUCUUCAUCUUGUUUCUAAUUAAUGUCUUAUAAUAAUAAAUAAAUAAAUUAUAUAUUAUUGGGAUUAAGAUUAGAAUAAAAUAGUUUUUAAGUUAUUUAUAUAUGUAUAUACAUUUUAUUAACUAUAAAAAGAGGAUUUUGUAGAAAAAAGUAAUAAAACACUUGAAAUAAC